CUAGCUUGAUUGGUCGCUAGAAUUGGUCGCUAGCUUGAGUCUGGUCACUCAAGUGGGGAUCAACACCUCGAAAACGAGGACAGUACUCUAUCAAAAGACUACCAAUAUUUUUAUUGAAAAAAAGAGAGUGUGGCUGCAAUGAGUUAACAAAAGCGACACAAAAGAAACAAGGAAGAAAUGAAAACCUAUUCACAAAACAUCACACUUGGUGUACUGUCCCUCAAAAGAGUUAGAAUUGAUGACAUUUUGUUGCAAUGAAAACAUGCAAAAUUGCUUCAAUUGUUUUUAAACAGUGAAACAAAUAAAAGGGAAAUCGGUCAUACUUCUUUGUGUAAAUUUUACACUCAUCUUUUACUAUAUACGAGGUUCUUAUAAUAGGAUAUUUUCUCAUGUUAAUGUUUUAAUUUUUAUAUUUCUUGUAUAAGUAUGGAAAAUGACUUAUCCAAACAUUCGAAGGUUGACAAUACUUAACGAGUAAACGAAAAACAAAAUUCACGAAAGCGCGUAUCCAAUAUUUUUCGAUAUUUAAAAUCUUACCUUGGUGGACAUUACUGCUGACAAGAAUAUUAUUCAAUAUAUAUAUACAUAUGUUUAUGAUUAUACAAUUAUUUUUGGUCCUUGGGAGUCAUCUCAGCUAUGUAUAAAUUUUGACCGGUCCGUGCCUAAAAAAUUUAUUAGAAUUCAUGAGGAGCAAACUUCCAAGGCAAUGACACACCCGUCAAAUCGAAGGAACACAGCAUGAUCCGAGGAAGCAAAACAUGGCUCCCUAUCGCUUUAGACAGCGCAGCAUGGGUGCCGAACGAGUUCAUCUGACGGUGGUGGUGAGACACAACUGAAUUCUUAGGGGAAAGUUAGGUUUAUAGAUCCAGACAAUAAAAUUUCAUUAAUGUCUAAAAACUCAGAUGAGAAUCAGAUGAGUGCCCCCAAAGAUGGUUUGAGGUGUGAGGUGGUUUGGCCUUCAAAAUAUCAACGAUAAUAUAACAUGUUUCAAAGACAAGUAGAAUAAACCACUAAAACUAUCGAUAAGCGUAUUAAUAUACAAAAUUAAAGUUGAAGAAAUCUUGAUAUAUCUACAAUAACUAUCCGAUUUCCAUCGACCAAGUACUAUGAUCAUAUGAUCUUCUACGAGUGCUUUUCCCGCAUUAGUUGCGGCACCCGAUCUGAAAGAAUGACCAUUAUACAAGUUUGGGUCAUAACCGCAAAGUUCUAAAAUAUUCUUAAAUUUCUCUAGAAAAAAUUGUCUAGUUAAAGCUUCCCUUUUUACCUGUACGCAACUAUGCAAGUUUUUUCUUUUAAACAAUCAAUAUACUUAUUAUACACGCCCCUUCUCGGUCUGAGGCAAUUUUUCUGUAAAUUGGAAAAGUAAUUGGCAACCUAGUUCUAGUUUGUGAACCUUGUAUGCGUUUAACAGAUUUUAAAAUCAGAGUGAGUCGUGGUAAAAAUUCGCCUAGAGGCGUUUCUAGAGGAUUAUGAUAUCCUGACUUCAAAUAAGCAUGUCUAAUACCACAUAAAGUUUUAUAGUAGUGUGUUUGAGUUUCAAAACUUUAAAACAGUGCGCUACAAAGUAAAUGAGAACGUUUUCUGAUAUUCUGAUAUAAGAGGAAGAUCAUGUGAAUUAUAUAUAAUACCAUUCAGCAACAAAAAUCUAACAAAGUGAGAAAAACCUAUAUUAUACAAAGAUCUUAGCAACAGCAUGUGUCCAGAAUUGUUCGACUGUUUCAUUCAACACCACAUUACUUCGUAGACACUCGGGCAGUUGUGUGGAAGCUUCACUGCAUGUGAAGCGAGACUGUGGAAUUUUUCAAUCUGCUAAAGAGAUAAAGCGUCAUUAAUGUUAUUUUUACGACUAUCAAUAUGUUUUGCAGUAUCCUGGAAGUUUUUUUACAUAUGAGCACCACGUUAACUGUCGCAUAAGCGUCAAUAUUUCGAUUCAUUUUGAUCCUUUUUUACAACUUGCAUAGUUGCGUUUUUUUUUGUUUUUUUUUAUUGCUUUUUUGAGAUGAGGAGAAUUUACCGUCAUGAAUACCGAUAAGUGUGACCCUUUAACUAGCUUGUGCAUAUCUGGGCUCUGUUGUUCAUCUUGUCGUUAUUUUAACGAUUGAUUAAAUUUAACGAGUCGUUAAAUUUUUAAACGAGUCGUUACAUAACGAGUCGUUUAUUUUCUGUUGUUCAACAAUAUUUAACGCGUUGAUUAAAUAAUCAAUGAAUUAAAAUUAAAUCAACUGAUUAAUCAAUGCGUUAAAAUUUAAUCAACUGAUUAAUCAAGUGAUUAAAUAAAACCUACCUAUCAUUCAUUGUUUAUGAGCUUCCUGUCUGUAAAAAAAUGGCUGAACCAGUUGAACAAACCCCAAGCAAACUGAAAAGGCUAAAGAAGACCAAUUUUACUGUGGCAGAAGAAGACUUGAUACAACAGCUUGUGGAAAAAAACUCCAACAUCAUAAAUGGAAAAUUAACAAACACAGUAAAAGACAUUUGGGAUGAGAUUCAAUCAAGGUAAAUUCUCUUGGAGUUGCUCUUCGUACUUCAACAGAAGUACGAAACAAAUGGAGGAACACCACAAGAGUGGCCAAGGCCGUUUAUUCAAAUCACAGGAAUGAAAUAUUCAAAACUGGGGGAGGACCAGCUCCAAAGCAACCCAGCACAGCAGUGGAGAGGGUUAUCCACCUGAUGACGGACACCACCAGCUUCAGAGGGAUUCAGGGUGGACUUGAAACAGAGUCAUUCCAGACAAAUCUACCAACUAUCACUGCCACAUUACCAGAAGAUGAUGCCAGCCAGGAUCUCUAUGAGUCGGCAGCAUCACUUAUCAGUGACAGCCCACCCCUCUCAGUCAACAGAGUCCAUCUCUGCUGACUGGAUAUGACCCUAUCCUAACACAAACAGUUGUUCCAGUACAAACAAGUAUUACAGAAAAGCGGAAGAUAGUGAGAACACCCUCAAAAAAGGUAACAGUGCAGGACAUACAUGACAUACAGUAUCGUGCACUGCAGGGUAAAUUAGUGAUACAAGAGAAGACGAACAUUCAAAUGGACCUAGAAAAGAAAAAACUGGAACUCCAAAUUGAGCUUUUGCAGAAGUUAGUGGGUGGCAAUUCAGAACCGGUCACACUCUCCCAGGCACUUGCCUCUAUGUUUUGAACGUAUUAAAUUCAUUGUUAUAUUGUU